GUUAAGUGGAGAAAGAGUGAGAGUGCAGAGUAUAGGAGGCCUUCUGGAACAAGGAACGAUCCUGGGAUGCUGCAGGUUCCAAGGAUAAAACGGAAGAAAGUUGUAUGGAUAAAAUUCUGCUCGGAAGGAAAUCCUUUUAUGAGACAGGAUCGUCAACCCUUCCAGUAAUAAUAACUACCCCUCUAUAACCAGAUGAGCCAUUACACCAAUGUAUACCAGAGCCUACACAGCAAUGAAUGGGAAAGUUAUGAAUGAACGAUCCUGGCUGCUACAAGGAAUUCUUCAAAAAUCUUAGAAACGAUAUUAUGUUCUUCUCUAUUCAAUUCCCUCAAAUCCCUUACCCAGAAAACUGAUGUCAGGUUCAGCUUGGGAUUGAAUAUCUGGUGGAAGUAGGUGUGUAAAUAUAUGACCCAGCAGAUGCUGAG